AAAUGACAUGGGGGGGUGUCUCCCUGUAAUAGAGAAAGGGUUAAAUAACACAGGGGGGACUCCCUGUAAUAGAGAAAGGGUUAAAUGACACAGGGGGGUCUCCCUGUAAUAGAGAAAGGGUUAAAUGACACAGGGGGGUCUCCCUGUAAUAGAGAAAGGGUUAAAUGACACAGGGGAUGUCUCCCUGUAAUAGAGAAUGGGUUAAAUGAUACAGGGGGUGU